UCUCCGUUGGUGAACCAGCGGAGGGAUCAUUACCGAGUUUACAACUCCCAAACCCCUGUGAACAUACCAUUUGUUGCUUCGGCGGUGCCUGCUUCGGCAGCCCGCCAGAGGACCCAAACCCUUGAUUUUAUACAGUAUCUUCUGAGUAAAUGAUUAAAUAAAUCAAAACUUUCAACAACGGAUCUCUUGGUUCUG
rnacentral:misc_RNA from 1 species